rnacentral:rRNA from 1 species
UCGUAACAAGGUUUCCGUAGGUGAACCUGCGGAAGGAUCAUUAUCGAGUUUUGACCGGGUUGUAGCUGGCCUUCCGAGGCAUGUGCACGCCCUGCUCAUCCACUCUACACCUGUGCACUUACUGUGGGCUUCAGAUUGCGAGGCACGCUCUUUACCGGGCUUGCGGAGCAUAUCUGUGCCUGCGUUUAUCACAAACUCUAUAAAGUAACAGAAUGUGUAUUGCGAUGUAACACAUCUAUAUACAACUUUCAGCAACGGAUCUCUUGGCUCUCGCAUCGAUGAAGAACGCAGCGAAAUGCGAUAAGUAAUGUGAAUUGCAGAAUUCAGUGAAUCAUCGAAUCUUUGAACGCACCUUGCGCUCCUUGGUAUUCCGAGGAGCAUGCCUGUUUGAGUGUCAUGAAAUCCUCAACCUACAAGCUUUUGUGGUUUGUAGGCUUGGACUUGGAGGCUUGUCGGCCGUUAUCGGUCGGCUCCUCUUAAAUGCAUUAGCUUGGUUCCUUGCGGAUCGGCUCUCGGUGUGAUAAUGUCUACGCCGCGACCGUGAAGCGUUUGGCGAGCUUCUAACCGUCUUAUAAGACAGCUUUAUGACCUCUGACCUCAAAUCAGGUAGGACUACCCGCUGAACUUAAGCAUAUC